rnacentral:rRNA from 1 species
UUAGAGUUUGAUCAUGGCUAUGAAGAACGCUAGCUACAGGCUUAACACAUGCAAGUCGAGGGGUAUCACGGAGGAAGCUUGCUUCCUUGGGUGACGACCGGCGCACGGGUGAGUAACGCGUAUCCGACCUACCCAUAACUCGGGCACAGCCGCUCGAAAGAGUGAUUGAUUCCCGAUAUGUCCUUGGAGUAGAUUCAAUGAUGAAAGAUUUAUCGGUUAUGGAUGGGGAUGCGUAAGAUUAGGUAGUAGGCGGGGUAACGGCCCACCUAGCCGACGAUCUUUAGGGGUUCUGAGAGGAAGGUCCCCCACACUGGUACUGAGACACGGACCAGACUCCUACGGGAGGCAGCAGUGAGGAAUAUUGGUCAAUGGCCGGAAGGCUGAACCAGCCAAGUAGCGUGAAGGAUGAAGGUUCUAUGGAUUGUAAACUUCUUUUAUACGGGAAUAAAACCUCCCGCGUGUGGGAGCUUGUAUGUACCGUAUGAAUAAGCAUCGGCUAACUCCGUGCCAGCAGCCGCGGUAAUACGGAGGAUGCGAGCGUUAUCCGGAUUUAUUGGGUUUAAAGGGAGCGUAGGUGGUUUAUUAAGCAAGUUGUGAAAUACUGCCGCUCAACGGCAGCCGUGCAGUUUGAACUGGUAGACUUGAGUGUACAUGAGGAAAAGUGGAAUUCGUGGUGUAGCGGUGAAAUGUUUAGAUAUCACGAAGAACUCCCAAUUGCGUAGGCAGCUUUCUAGGGUACAACUGACACUGAGGCUCGAAAGUGCGGGUAUCGAACAGGAUUAGAUACCCUGGUAGUCCGCACCGUAAACUAUGGAUACUCGCUGCCGGCGAUAGACAGUCGGUGGCCAAGCGAAAGCAUUAAGUAUCCCACCUGGGGAGUACGCCGGCAACGGCGAAACUCAAAGGAAUUGACGGGGGCCCGCACAAGCGGAGGAACAUGUGGUUUAAUUCGAUGAUACGCGAGGAACCUUACCUGGGCUAGAACGGCAGUCUGCUUCUUGGGAGAGACCCCUUGAUUCUUCGGACAGACUGUUGAGGUGCUGCAUGGUUGUCGUCAGCUCGUGCCGUGAGGUGUCGGCUUAAGUGCCAUAACGAGCGCAACCCUUGCUGUCAGUUGCCAUCGGGUGAUGCCGGGCACUCUGGCGGGACUGCCAUCGCAAGAUGUGAGGAAGGUGGGGAUGACGUCAAAUCAGCACGGCCCUUACGUCCAGGGCUACACACGUGUUACAAUGGGAGGAACAGUGGGAUGCCAUCCGGCGACGGAGCGCUGAUCCCUAAACCCUCUCCCAGUUCGGAUUGGAGUCUGCAACCCGACUCCAUGAAGCUGGAUUCGCUAGUAAUCGCGCAUCAGCCAUGGCGCGGUGAAUACGUUCCCGGGCCUUGUACACACCGCCCGUCAAGCCAUGGGAGUCGGCGGUACCUAAAGAGCGGGGUAUAUCCCGUUUUAGGGUAAAGUCGGUGACUGGGGCUAAGUCGUAACAAGGUAACC